AGGAGUUAUCACGAUUCUAAACACUUUUAAAUUAAAAGAUAUUGUUGUAUUCCUUAAAAUACCCUAAAUAAUUUGGUUCGUAAACGAAUUUUUCCACAGAACAACGGGGGCUUCAACAUCUUAAUAUCAUCGGGAAGGUUUAAAACGAAAUUGUUUUAAAAAUGUAUUUUAAUAUUUCAUUCAGAUUUUUUAGACAUUCUUCUGAGACAUGAACAGCCUAGCACUGUUCCCUCUCGGAGUAAUUCUGCUCUCCCUCAGAAAAGUUCUGUUCUUCUACAGGGGAGUUCUGUUCUACCUCAGGGGAGUUCUGUUCUCCUACAAAGGAGUUCUGAUUUACCUCAGAGUAGCUCUUUUCCUGCUGAGCCAGCCAAGAACAAGAGAAAAUUUGAAAAACAGGCAACAGAAGAAUUGUACACCUCUAGCUUUGAAGAAAUUCCAGAAAAUGGAUCUAUUGCUGACGAAAUUAUCCAGCAAUACAAAAAAAGAAGAAUUAAGAUGUCUAACUACUAAGCUAAUACUGUUUAAAAAUGAAUAACUUUCAAAUUAUCCAUUUUGAAAUGUUAAAGAAAUAAAUAAUUGAACAAA